CCUACGGGAGGCUGCAGUGAGGAAUAUUGGGCAAUGGCCGAGAGGCUGAACCAGCCAAGUCGCGUGAGGGAAGACGGCUCUACGGUUUGUAAACCUCUUUUGUCGGGGAGCAAAGCGAGUCACGUGUGACUCAUUGAGAGUACCCGAAGAAAAAGCAUCGGCUAACUCCGUUCCAGCAGCCGCGGUAAUGGGGGGGAUGCGAGCGUUAUCCGGAUUUAUUGUGUUUAAAGGGUGCGCAGGGGGAGGUGCAAGUCAGCGGUCAAAUUGCGGGGCUCAACCCCGUACUGCCGUUGAAUCUGCAGCCCUUGAGUGCGCGAGAAGUAUGCGGAAUGCGUGGUGUAGCGGUGAAAUGCAUAGAUAUCACGCAGAACUCCGAUUGCGAAGGCAGCAUACCGGCGCGCAACUGACGCUCAUGCACGAAAGCGUGGGUAUCGAACAGGAUUAGAUACCCCUGUAGUC
rnacentral:rRNA from 1 species